rnacentral:tRNA from 1 species
GCCUGGCUGGCUCAGUUGGUAGAGCAUGUGACUCUUGACCUCAGAGUUGUAGGUUUGAGCCCCACGAUGGGUG